AGAGUUUGAUCCUGGCUCAGGACGAACGCUGGCGGCGUGCCUAAUACAUGCAAGUAGAACGCUGACUACUUUAGCUUGCUAGAGUAGAAGGAGUUGCGGACGGGUGAGUAACGCGUAGGUAACCUGCCUACUAGCGGGGGAUAACUAUUGGAAACGAUAGCUAAUACCGCAUAACAGUGUUUAACACAUGUUAGAUGCUUGAAAGAUGCAAAUGCAUCACUAGUAGAUGGACCUGCGUUGUAUUAGCUAGUUGGUGGGGUAACGGCCUACCAAGGCGACGAUACAUAGCCGACCUGAGAGGGUGAACGGCCACAUUGGGACUGAGACACGGCCCAGACUCCUACGGGAGGCAGCAGUGGGGAAUCUUCCGCAAUGGGCGAAAGCCUGACGGAGCAACGCCGCGUGAACGAUGAAGGUCUUAGGAUCGUAAAGUUCUGUUGUUAGGGACGAAGGGUAAGAAUCAUAAUAAGGUUUUUAUUUGACGGUACCUAACGAGGAAGCCACGGCUAACUACGUGCCAGCAGCCGCGGUAAUACGUAGGCGGCAAGCGUUGUCCGGAAUUAUUGGGCGUAAAGGGAGCGCAGGCGGGAAACUAAGCGGAUCUUAAAAGUGCGGGGCUCAACCCCGUGAUGGGGUCCGAACUGGUUUUCUUGAGUGCAGGAGAGGAAAGCGGAAUUCCCAGUGUAGCGGUGAAAUGCGUAGAUAUUGGGAAGAACACCAGUGGCGAAGGCGGCUUUCUGGACUGUAACUGACGCUGAGGCUCGAAAGCUAGGGUAGCGAACGGGAUUAGAUACCCCGGUAGUCCUAGCCGUAAACGAUGGAUACUAGGUGUGGGAGGUAUCGACCCCUUCCGUGCCGGAGUUAACGCAAUAAGUAUCCCGUCUGGGGAGUACGGCCGCAAGGUUGAAACUCAAAGGAAUUGACGGGGGCCCGCACAAGCGGAGGAACAUGUGGUUUAAUUCGAUGAUACGCGAGGAACCUUACCCGGGCUUGAAAGUUAACGACGGAUCGAGAAAUCGGUCUUCCCUACGGGGCGCGAAACUAGGUGCUGCAUGGUUGUCGUCAGCUCGUGCCGUGAGGUGUCGGGUUAAGUCCCAUAACGAGCGCAACCCUUACCGUUAGUUGCCAUCAGGUCAAGCUGGGCACUCUAGCGGGACUGCCGGUGUAAGCCGAGAGGAAGGUGGGGAUGACGUCAAAUCAGCACGGCCCUUACGUCCGGGGCGACACACGUGUUACAAUGGCCGGUACAGAGGGUAGCUACCUGGUGACAGGAUGCCAAUCUCGAAAGCCGGUCUCAGUUCGGAUCGGAGGCUGAAACUCGCCUCCAUGAAGUUGGAUUCGCUAGUAAUCGCGCAUCAGCCAUGGCGCGGUGAAUACGUUCCCGGGUCUUGUACUCACCGCCCGUCA
rnacentral:rRNA from 1 species